rnacentral:rRNA from 1 species
GACGAACGCUGGCGGCGUGCUUAAUACAUGCAAGUCAACUGAACUUGAGGUAGCAAUAUCACAAGAGAGGUGGCGCACGGGUGAGUAACACGUAGGUAAUCUGCCUUUAGGUCUGACAUAAUUCCGCGAAAGCGGGACUAAUAUCAGAUGAUGCAGCGGCUCGACAUCGAGACAGUUGUUAAACCUUCGGGGCCUAAAGAUGAGCCUGCGUCUGAUUAGGUAGUUGGCGGAGUAAAAGCCCACCAAGCCUGCGAUCAGUAGCUGGUCUGAGAGGAUGAUCAGCCACACUGGAACUGAGACACGGUCCAGACUCCGUACGGGAGCAGCAGUAAGAAUAUUGCUCAAUGCCGAAGGCUGAAGCAGCAACGCCGCGUGGAGGA